rnacentral:rRNA from 1 species
AUGAACGCUGGCGGCGUGCUUAACACAUGCAAGUCGAACGCAACACCUUAUUUGAUUUUCUUCGGAACUGAAGAUUUGGUGAUUGAGUGGCGGACGGGUGAGUAACGCGUGGGUAACCUGCCCUGUACAGGGGGAUAACAGUCAGAAAUGACUGCUAAUACCGCAUAAGACCACAGCACCGCAUGGUGCAGGGGUAAAAACUCCGGUGGUACAGGAUGGACCCGCGUCUGAUUAGCUGGUUGGUGAGGUAACGGCUCACCAAGGCGACGAUCAGUAGCCGGCUUGAGAGAGUGAACGGCCACAUUGGGACUGAGACACGGCCCAAACUCCUACGGGAGGCAGCAGUGGGGAAUAUUGCACAAUGAGGGAAACCCUGAUGCAGCGACGCCGCGUGAGUGAAGAAGUAUUUCGGUAUGUAAAGCUCUAUCAGCAGGGAAGAAAAUGACGGUACCUGACUAAGAAGCCCCGGCUAACUACGUG